AAUACCAAAUUAUGUUAUAGUCAAAUUGCACAAAACUAGUGAUAUAAAGAAAAUAUUAAAACAGCCAGAGAAUGAUAGACGUAUUACAUAAGAGGAACAAAGAUAAGGAUGAGUACAGAUUUCUCAUUAGAAACAAAGUAAAUUAGGAGACAGUGAAGCAACAUCUUUAAAGUACAGGUGCUCUCGAUCUUGGCUCACUGCAACCUCCAACUUCCGGGUUCAAGUGAUUCUCCUGCCUCAGCCUCCCGAGUAGUGG
rnacentral:lncRNA from 1 species